UAUAAAAUAGUUUUAACACUAGUGGUCAUGGCAUCUGCCCGGUAAGCGGAAGGUCAUGGGUUCGAUUCCCAUCCCUUGACACUUUUUUUAU